GAUAGUAGCACCUCAAAAUCAGCUUUCAACAAUGUUAUUAUUGUUAGUGUUAUUACUACUACUAUCCUGAAUCAAUCUACUGAAGCAUGAAGGCAUCUUCACUGAAGAUUCUUUCAUGAUGGUCCAGUGCAGAGAACAGCAUUUAUCAACUUACCGCUAGGUAAUGGUACCUUGCAGCUGCUUUGUAUUACUGAGAACUGAGAAAAGGAAAAUAGAACUGUGGAAGCAGUCAAGCAGUAGAUUGAUUCCACUGGAGAAAUUCAAUGCAGUCCAACAGAUUCCCUAGGAUUUGGUAUCCUGCUGCUUCAGGCGCAACUUCUUGUAAUGAGAAACAGAAAACUUUUUGUCAGGAGCGUCAAAGCUUGUAGUGAAGGCUUGAAGGGAAACCCCUCCCCCCUCAAAUAACAAGACCUCAAACUGAAAAUGUCUCUCCUCAGAAAAUGCUUUUGCACAUGGAAAGACUACGACGCCCAGUUCAAGCUACAAGAGAGGUCAAGAACCUUUGCAAGCCAACAACGUUCGAUGAAAAACAUACAAUUUUGCGUAUCUCUACAACAGAAUCAGAGGCAACAACUUGGCUACAACUAAGUAUGACACACAAGAAAAGAAACGGUGAAAUUAUUUGAUAAACUUAUAAUUGCCUUCUGCUGCAACUCUUUUGUACCCAUGUGGCAUGUCUGGCCAAUUUUUGAAUGUUACAGAAGCAUAGCUGAAAAAGUAUAGCAAGUAAUUAAAACAGAAAGGUCAUUUUCGGUGAGAGAGAUUAGAGAAAAUUGUGGAGAAAAAGCCUAUCGAUAGCUCUUGUCAUGAUGUCUAGAGACAAUACUUCUCUAAGAGGCAAUUCCAAUUGGGAGCACUCAUCUGCUGCUUUGGGUCCUCCACUGGACCCUAAUUAUUGGCCACAGAAACAGAACGUUAAACUUGAGAGGUUUCAGGACUAUCACAUUAUUUUCACCAACUUUGUAGAAAAGCGUGGUUUGCUUAAAACAACAAUGACAAUGAAAAUAUGAGCUAUACUUUUUAUGGAUGUUUAAAUAAUAAAGUAUAUUUCAAUAAAAUGACUAUGAAGGCCAAUAUUUUGAAAUUAGGCAAUUACUAAUAUCUUAUUUAAUUGCACAAUGAAGUUUUCUUGACAAUUCAGACUGUGUUUCAUUUUUAAUUAUUAAGUGCCUAAGGGGCAAUUUUGUCCCCAUUUUGCCAUUGACCCAUUGUAUCUUAAUCUUCAUCUCUCUAGAGGAUUGAAAUUUUUAUUUUAUUGCCCUUCACAAUAUUGCCCUUCACAAUUUAACCUGAAAUUAAAUUUAAAGGAUCCAAAUAAUACAGUACAUUCAUACAUUUAAAGCAAUUUUCUAGAACUUGAAUAUUCAAUAAAAUAUGGAUCUGUAAUAAAAAAAAUGAAAGCACCUGACUGAGAUCAUUGGAAACAGAAUAGCAAUUAAAAUUCCCUCAGUGAAAUGCUCCUUUAUCACAACCAAGUCCCAUUGAAUGGUAAGAAGUGCCUCUUUUCAUUUUGUAAAUACUACUAGUAGUAUUUGAAGAUACUAUUACUGAGGCUGCCCAUCAUUAUUUUCUUUUUAAAAAAACUGUAUUUCUGUGAGCAAAAAGAAAGAAACAGGAAGAGAAAGAAUACAAAGUUAGAUCACUCUGCUCUUUUGCCCUUGCAGCUAUACCCUCUAUAACUACUCUCUGUUUCAAAGGAAAUCAUUCUAUUUUGUUCAAACUCUGAGAAUCAAAAUUAAUUAGUGACAGGUUAAAAACAUGGAGCACUAAAAGGAAGAAAAGGUCUCACCAAAAACAUAAUGCUAUUCUCUUAACAGAUACUUGGGAGGUUUUGAAAAGUAAAAUUAGACCUAAUGCAAAACAUUCCAGAACUCUCGAAGGAGUUAUAAAAAGAAUAGCCAGUCUUCUCAUUCCAAGUAUUACAGAUUUUAGCCUAGGGAAAAGCUGAAAUAGCAAAUACCCUUGAAGGGCGUUCGGAGACUGCAGUUGGUUCAGAACGCAGCUGUGAGAGCGAUUGUGGGCGCGCCAAGGUACGCCCACGUGU